rnacentral:miRNA from 1 species
UAGUCCCUUCCUUGAAGGAUCGG